rnacentral:rRNA from 1 species
AUUGAACGCUGGCGGCAUGCCUUACACAUGCAAGUCGAACGGUAACAGGUCUUCGGAUGCUGACGAGUGGCGAACGGGUGAGUAAUACAUCGGAACGUGCCCGAUCGUGGGGGAUAACGGAGCGAAAGCUUUGCUAAUACCGCAUACGAUCUACGGAUGAAAGCAGGGGACCGCAAGGCCUUGCGCGGACGGAGCGGCCGAUGGCAGAUUAGGUAGUUGGUGGGAUAAAAGCUUACCAAGCCGACGAUCUGUAGCUGGUCUGAGAGGACGACCAGCCACACUGGGACUGAGACACGGCCCAGACUCCUACGGGAGGCAGCAGUGGGGAAUUUUGGACAAUGGGCGCAAGCCUGAUCCAGCCAUGCCGCGUGCAGGAUGAAGGCCUUCGGGUUGUAAACUGCUUUUGUACGGAACGAAAAGACUCUUUCUAAUAAAGAGGUCCAUGACGGUACCGUAAGAAUAAGCACGGCUAACUACGUGCCAGCAGCCGCGU